ACGAACGCUGGCGGCGUGCUUAACACAUGCAAGUCGAACGAUGAACCAGGAGCUUGCUCUUGGGGAUUAGUGGCGAACGGGUGAGUAACACGUGAGUAACCUGCCCUUGACUCUGGGAUAACCUCCGGAAACGGAAGCUAAUACCGGAUAUGACGCACGGAGGCAUCUCCUGUGCGUGGAAAGAAUUUCGGUCAAGGAUGGACUCGCGGCCUAUCAGGUAGUUGGUGAGGUAACGGCCCACCAAGCCUACGACGGGUAGCCG
rnacentral:rRNA from 20 species